UACAUGUGGGGCAAGCGUUGUUCGGAAUUACUGGGCAUAAAGGGCUCGUAGGCGGCCAACUAAGUCAAACGUGAAAUCCCUCGGCUUAACCGGGGAACUGCGUCUGAUACUGGAUGGCUUGAGUUUGGGAGAGGGAUGCGGAAUUCCAGGUGUAGCGGUGAAAUGCGUAGAUAUCUGGAGGAACACCGGUGGCGAAGGCGGCAUCCUGGACCAACACUGACGCUGAGGAGCGAAAGCCAGGGGAGCAAACGGG
rnacentral:rRNA from 1 species